CAGUCGAGCGAGUGGAACCAACAGAUUUACUUCGGUAAUGACGUUGGGAAAGCGAGCGGCGGAUGGGUGAGUAACACGUGGGGAACCUGCCCCUAAGUCUGGGAUACCAUUUGGAAACAGGUGCUAAUACCGGAUAAUAAAGCGGAUCGCAUGAUCAGCUUUUGAAAGGCGGCGUAAGCUGUCGCUAAGGGAUGGCCCCGCGGUGCAUUAGCUAGUUGGUAAGGUAACGGCUUACCAAGGCGACGAUGCAUAGCCGAGUUGAGAGACUGAUCGGCCACAUUGGGACUGAGACACGGCCCAAACUCCUAUGGGAGGCAGCAGUAGGGAAUCUUCCACAAUGGACGCAAGUCUGAUGGAGCAACGCCGCGUGAGUGAAGAAGGUUUUCGGAUCGUAAAGCUCUGUUGUUGGUGAAGAAGGAUAGAGGUAGUAACUGGCCUUUAUUUGACGGUAAUCAACCAGAAAGUCACGGCUAACUACGUGCCAGCAGCCGCGGUAAUACGUAGGUGGCAAGCGUUGUCCGGAUUUAUUGGGCGUAAAGCGAGCGCAGGCGGAAAAAUAAGUCUAAUGUGAAAGCCCUCGGCUUAACCGAGGAGCUGCAUCGGAAACUGUUUUUCUUGAGUGCAGAAGAGGAGAGUGGAACUCCAUGUGUAGCGGUGGAAUGCGUAGAUAUAUGGAAGAACACCAGUGGCGAAGGCGGCUCUCUGGUCUGCAACUGACGCUGAGGCUCGAAAGCGUGGGUAGCGAACAGGAUUAGAUACCCUGGUAGUCCAUGCCGUANACGAUGAGUGCUAAGUGUUGGGAGGUUUCCGCCUCUCAGUGCUGCAGCUAACGCAUUAAGCACUCCGCCUGGGGAGUACGACCGCAAGGUUGAAAC
rnacentral:rRNA from 1 species